CCUACGGGAGGCAGCAGUGGGGGAUAUUGCACAAUGGGGGCAACCCUGAUGCAGCGACGCCGCGUGAGCGAUGGAGUACUUCGGUAUGUAAAGCUCUAUCAGCAGGGAAGAAAAUGACGGUACCUGACCAAGAAGCCCCGGCUAACUACGUGCCAGCAGCCGCGGUAAUACGUAGGGGGCAAGCGUUAGCAGGAUUUCCUGGUGGUAAAGGGAGCGUAGACGGCAGCGCAAGUCUGGAGUGAAAUGCCGGGGCCCAACCCCGGAACUGCUUUGGAAACUGUGCAGCUGGAGUGCAGGAGAGGUAAGCGGAAUUCCUAGUGUAGCGGUGAAAUGCGUAGAUAUUAGGAGGAACACCAGUGGCGAAGGCGGCUUACUGGACUGUAACUGACGUUGAGGCUCGAAAGCGUGGGGAGCAAACAGGAUUAGAUACCCCAGUAGUG
rnacentral:rRNA from 1 species